CAACUCAGCUUGGCUCCCUCAGGGGAGGAACCGGGAAUAAUUUGUGUGUGGAUGUUAAAGCUAACACCGUGACUAGGAGCAUUGGCGGCGGGGAGAGGGUGGUGGGUGCUUGGAGGCUCUGCUUCCCCUCGAAGCUCCCACCUUGUUGUGGCGGUUCCCGCCAGGGUGUUACCAUGGAGAUUUCUGUGCAGUGCUUGGCUGGAAUUACUCAGUGGAGGGAGCCACGUGCUUCAGGCUUCGUCAUCACACACCGAGCUCCGAGAAGAGGCUGGCUGGAUGCCGGUGGUCAGAGGCACUCCAUUCAAAUUUGUUGAAUGAAUGGAUGAGUUCAUAAUAAAGAGUACUUGGAUACCA